GGAAGGUGCCCUUGGAUAG
rnacentral:rRNA from 1 species